rnacentral:rRNA from 1 species
GAUGAACGCUGGCGGCGUGCCUAAUACAUGCAAGUCGAGCGAACAGACGAGGAGCUUGCUCCUCUGACGAUAGCGGAGGACGGGUGAGUAACACGAGGAUAACCUCCUUAUAAGACUGGGAUAACUUCGGGAAACCGGAGCUAAUACCGGAGAAUAUAUUGAACCGCAGGGGUCGAUAGUGAAUGACGGCUGUGCGGUCUCUUAUAGAUGGAUCCGCGCCGCAUUGGCUAGUUGGGAAGGUAACGGCUUACGAAGGCAAGGAUGCGUAUCCGACCUGAGAGGGUGAUCGGCCACCCUAGAACUGAGCCACGGUCCAGGCUCCUACGGUAGGCAGCAGAAGGCAAUCUUCCGCAAUGGGCGAAAGCCUGACGGAGCAGCGCCGCGUGAGUGGUAGAGGUCCUCGGAUCGUAAAACUGGGUUACGGGGUAAGAACAAAUUUGUAAGUUACUAUGCACGUCGUGACGGUACCUAGUCAGAAAGCCACGGCUAACUACGUG